GGGCCGUAGCUCAGUUGGGAGAGCGCUUGAAUGGCAUUCAAGAGGUCGAGGGUUCGAAUCCCUUCGGCUCC
rnacentral:tRNA from 1 species